ensembl:lncRNA
GGGGAACAUGUCACGUGAGGCUUGGGAAAAGAGCUAGGGUAGGGGAAAGAUGACCUUGCACUGAAGUAUUCAUUAUCAGACUGUAAGAUGUAGCAACAGACAUCUGAAUGUUUUCUACAAUGGCUUUGCAAAUAAGUCUAAAUCAUUGCAGAAGCAUGUUUUGAAUGACCUGGAUGCCUACUUUAUGAGCAAGUGUAUUACAGCACCUCUGGCCCAAGUUCACACUGGGAUUUUUAACCCAUCAACAGUGCCAGUACUCUAUCUCAGAGACCUAUGAGAAAAGAAGGGAGGAGGACUUACAGAAAUGUUCCUCAUGAGCAAAAUUUCAUGGUAGUGUGAAAACAGACAAAUGAGAGAACUGAGUCAUUGUAAGCUUGCUAAAGUUAUGAAACUAGCCAGAAUCAUAUCUAUAUUAGAACAGCCAUUGGUCAUAAAUAAAGUAAUUUAGGUCAACACUGUGGAUGCAGAGGAAUUUUUUUUUCUUUUUUAAAAGAUCUAUCAGUUAUUCAAGUUAAAGAACCAUUCAAGUGGAGACAGGAAUAUUCAUUUAGCUGCCCAUGCUAGCCAUUUGAAUAUGGCAGGAUUGAAAGGAUCAUAAGCAAAAACGCUAGAGGUCAUAAAACGUAAAGUGCAGGAUUUUGUCAUCUCUGUGUACACGAUGAAGAGAUUGAAAUUAAUUUCUAAAAACAUAGGAAAUUGGGUAGAAGUGAAGAAGAACAGAAGUCCUGCUCCCCUUUAAAGAUUUCAGAAAAAUGAAACAUUUUCUUUAACAAAUAAAGAGAGUUUUCCAAAGGGGUAUAGCCAGAGGCUUUUAAGGAUAAAAUAGAUAUUGCUGCAGAAGUGUUUAAGAGACAGCACAGUUAAAUAAAAUGGAGGUGAAGACACUGGAGCAGAAAUGGCGAAAUUGAAGACCAGAUGAAACAGAAUGGGGAGGAUGAGAGCAGAAAAGGUCAGGCAAGAACAAAAACACUCUCGCCAGAAACCUGAGGUCUGGGAGACGAGUGAGGACUGUCACAAGAUUAAAAUGGACAGAAUAAGAAGGCACCAGAAGAGAACCUUGAGAUAAUGGAAAGGUUUAACCAAACGUAUCAAGUGCAAAGAAAGAUUGAGUGGCCAGCUCGGCUGUGGGCUGAUGAAGAAACAAGCAAUCUGACAGCGGACAUCAUGGGUCAAGUGGCUCUAAGUGAGCAGGUUUUGAAGGAAGGAAGCACCCCGGGUCUGGCAGGCUCCCUGCGUAGUUCUAUCAGGCGUUUAAGAACUGAGCAAAGCACUGUUUCCCAUGACAGACACUUGAGAGGAAGGUGGAGUGUCCUGUAUAGUAAAAACAAGGAGCUGGUGAUAUUUCCAAAAAAAACAGAAGGUGGAUGCUGGGAACUAGAGGUCAGUAUCUUUACAAACUUGUAGUAGGAGACUUUGUAGCAGAAUGCUAGACAAAGUUUUUUUUAAAAAAGUUGUCUGGACUGGUGUGAAAUGACAAACAUGUCAGGGGCUUAGCAGGGAUAAUCAACAGUGGGGGUGGGAGAGGGGGAUGGUCCCUGACCACACAAGCAUUUGUAAAAAAAAAAAAAAAAAAGAAAAA